AGGAAAAAAAAAAUCCCUGUGCACUGGAAUAUAAUCUCAAGGGAAAGGAAAAUGGAAGGAAUGUGGAAGCAAAGAUUUGGGAUUUUACACGUGGAGAGAAGCAGGACAGGCUCCCCAUUCUGAAGGAAAAGGGGAAAAAGGAGAGUGCAUUGCCCAAGUGCUCCAUCUGCAACUCCAUCCCAUGGAGGAGCCGGAGGCACCGCAGCAGCGCUCACAGAACCGCCUCAGGAAUCCACAGAGCAGCCAGAUGCCAGCCCUGGAAAAACAUGGGAUGUUGAGAAUAGCUGCAUCCCGUGACUGGCAUCCAGAGAGGGGCCACGAGGCUGGAGCGAUGUUCAGGGAUGAGCAGAAGGGCCUCUAAUUUGCAGCAAAUUGUCCAAGCCCUUCCCCUGGCUGAAGUGGAGAGUGCAGUCCAGAAGAACCAACCUGCCCAAGGUGGGAACCAAGCAGCAGAAGGCUGAUGGAGACCAGGAUCACACAACAAAAUUUCUCACACCAAAGUCAGCCAAGAAAAGGGAGUUGGAAACUUUUAUUUUUAAGGGGCAUCUUCCUAACCAGGGCAUUGGGGCUGAGAAUCUCCCUUACCUUUUGCACUGGAACAUCAUAGCUGGAAUCAAUAAUCAAUAUUUUUAGUGUUAAAUCAGUACCUUAUGAAGAGGAAAAGCUGUUUAUUUCUUCCAUCUCCAUACUAAAAAAGGAACAAAGACUGGGAGAGCAGAAAUUUGUAAGUACCCCAUGGAGAGAAAAGCACUUUGUGAAAAAAACUCUGCCCCCAAUAAGCAGCUGCAAGAAAUACUUUUCAAUUUGGACUCUUCUGCUCAACGUGACUGUUUGCACACUUAAGUUCCUAUCAGUUGGAAUUUCAGCAAAAAAGAACACUGUCAUUCACUUUAGGAUAACUGGAGUACCCUGUUGUGCUAUGAUACAUCCACAUUUGUAAGUUAAAUAGAAUAAAAUGUGCCACAAAGUAAAACAAAACCAUUUCAAAACAGGAGAAGAUAUUUUUUGUAAGCAAAUUCAGGAGAAAACAUGUUUGGCAAAGGUAACAAGGAAUCAAGAAAUAAGGAAUGAAGAACAAUUAAGUAAAAUUUUAUGCUGAGCUUUUGAAGUACGUAGACAUGAAAGCUUCAUCAUUUUAUCAAACAGAAUUUUCCAAGUAUUUCCACACUUAUUAUUAUGCUUAUGGCAUUUCAUAAACAUAACUUUACAGGUAAUAGUUACUCUAUUAAAAAAUAGCUCAUCCAGAGUUUCAAAGGAGAGUCUCACUGUCUUUAGUCUUCCAGAACUCAUUCAUUCAAAAAAAUUCGUAUCUCUACUAUCUGCUCAUAUUUUAGCAGCUAAAAUGGCCACUAAGACAAUGAGAAAAGAGGUUUAAAUUAUUUUUGCUUUUAAUUUUAACGAUCCAAGGAAUAGAUAAAAUUGUAGAAGAUAUUAAUUGGAAAGAUUUAGUAGUUAUUGUAAGAACUACUGAAACCUUGUGUGACUAGAAAAAAAGUGGGCCUGAUCUGUAAAAAUCCCAGGGUGGAUGAUACCAAUGGAAAAAAAAACGUAAAAAAAUAUCCCCUGAUGUUUUAACAAGAAUAAAACCCUGUAUCACUCAGGUAGCAAAAACACUGGAAGAUUAUGCCUGGAAUACAAGGAUUGAAAGGAAGGAAUUUGUUUAGAAAAUACAGAAUAAGUAUAGUAAGGUAGCACUGUAAGCUAAUGAUGAAAAAAAGCAUGGUAUGACCUAGAGAGUAAAACACAAACAAUAUACAGAGGGCAGUAAAAAAUUCUUCAUUUUACAUUUUGAUAGUUUUUACAACAACAAAUAUUUUUAACCCAUAUUUUAUUGGCAGAGAGGUCGUCAUGUGAAAAGAAAAUAGUGAAUAUAAAUUCUGCUAAAAAAGGAUUAAAAUAAUUAUCCAUGGAACUAGAAGGCACCCUGUCAAGCCAUUAAAUAACAUGAAAUAAUGUGAACGUUUUCCUUAUGUUCUAGCAAGGACAAAACCAGCUGCACUAAGGAAUAAUACUGUGGUUAAACAAUGAAGAGCAUCUCACACAAGAGAUUUGGUUUAGUCUAUGAAUAAAGAAAAAGGCUGAAAAGAUAUAGGACUGCUCUUUAAUAAAAUAUGGAGAUGAGGUAAAUAGUAAAGAGGAUGCAGAGCUCUUUCAAGUAAAUUCUAUUUUAAAACGGA